rnacentral:rRNA from 1 species
UACGGGGGGGGCAAGCGUUGUUCGGAAUUACUGGGCGUAAAGGGCUCGUAGGUGGCCAAUUAAGUCAGGCGUGAAAUCCCCAGGCUCAACUUGGGAACUGCGUCUGAUACUGGUUGGCUUGAGUGCAGGAGAGGAACGCGGAAUUCCAGGUGUAGCGGUGAAAUGCGUAGAUAUCUGGAAGAACACCAGCGGCGAAGGCGACUCACUGGACACAUAUUGACGCUGAGGUGCGAAAGCGUGGGGAGCAAACAGG